rnacentral:rRNA from 1 species
UACGGGGGGGGCAAGCGUUGUUCGGAAUUACUGGGCGUAAAGGGCUCGUAGGCGGCCAACUAAGUCAUACGCGAAAUCCCCCGGCUUAACCGGGGAACUGCGUCUGAUACUGGAUGGCUUGAGUUCGGGAGAGGGAUGCGGAAUUCCAGGUGUAGCGGUGAAAUGCGUAGAUAUCUGGAGGAACACCGGUGGCGAAGGCGGCAUCCUGGACCGAUACUGACGCUGAGGAGCGAAAGCCAGGGGAGCAAACGGG